CCUACACUGGAAAGAGUGUUUUCCUGUUUUUCCAGAGAGCAUUUCUAAGUCCUAUAUAGAAUAUAUUGCACUACUAAUCUCGAAGAUGGACUAUGUCAAGAGAGGAAUUGUGUGUAUAUCUGUCAUGUGUCAGAAUAUAAAAACAGUUAAAAAAAAGAUGACCAGGUCAUGAAGAGAUGUUGAUAACAUACACAAUGCUGGAUUACUG